rnacentral:rRNA from 1 species
UCGAGGAUCUUUCGCAAUGGGCGCAAGCCUGACGAAGCGACGCUGUGUGAGUGAUGAAGGCCUUCGGGUUGUAAAGCUCUUUCGCUUGGGAACAAGAAAGAACUGUGAAUAACAGUUCGAUUUGAGGGUACCAGGUAAAGAAGUACCGGCUAACUCCGUGCCAGCAGCUGCGGUAAUACGGAGGGUACAAGCAUUAAUCGGAAUUACUGGGCGUAAAGGGCGCGUAGGCUGAUUUGUAAGUCGGAUGUGAAAUUCCAAAACUCAAUUUUGGAGCUGCAUUUGAAACUACAAGUCUUGAGGUAUGGCGGAGAAAGCGGAAUUCCACGUGUAGCGGUGAAAUGCGUAGAUAUGUGGAAGAACACCGGUGGCGAAAGCGGCUUUCUAGCUAUGUCCUGACGCUGAGGCGCGAGAGCAAGGGGAGCAAACAGG